rnacentral:tRNA from 1 species
UCCCUAGUUGUCUAGAGGUUAGGACUCUGCACUUUCACUGCUGAAUCCAGGUUCAAUCCCUGGUUGGGGAA